UCGUGUCGUCGGCAUACAGGUGCCCAUUGGCCUUCCUAAGCCCAGUGGGAUAAUCGGGAAGUAUGGUGCGAUGCCAUCGCUGCCCCCGCAACGGUAUCAGGUGAACACCUCAUCAAUACCACUGGCUUGAAAGCCGGGAAGGGAUGAGGCUGUAUUGAACCCCUGGAGCCCGGAGACCGGCCUGUGAUGCCACACUCAU
rnacentral:ncRNA from 2 species